rnacentral:miRNA from 1 species
AAGUGAGGAUGAGAUUGAGAGAGAGAGGAUGAGAGGGGAGGAUGAAAGGGACGAGUAACAUAAGUGAAAAUAAUUUGAAAUAGAUUUCAGUUUUUAGUUUUUAUUUUCACUUUUGUUACUCCUCUCUUCCAUCCUCUCCUCUCAUCUUCCCUCUCAAUCCCAUCUCCACUCA